UAUAAUAUAUAUUUAUAUAUCUCAGAGAUCGCGUUAACCGAAAAGUUUGCGUCUUUGAUUUUUUUUUAGCACUGACGGAAAAAAUCUGCAGCCCGUCCGUCAUUUUGACAGAUUACCGGUAGCUUGUAACUGUAAUUCCCACCCCUGUCCAGUAGGUGGUGAGUGUGCUCCAGUGUGGCAGCAGAGCGCGAGUUCAAAAUCCAGAAUAAAAUGAAAACGAUGCGUUUGAUUACACACAGGCGAGCACCCUAGUUUAAGUCAGUUUUAAAGUAAUAAAGUUACCUAUGCUUACUUACAUAAUUAAGUUUUGUUAUUUUCUUGCUGACUGAGUUUAUGGUCAACGAAUUUUCUGAGGUAUAAUGUUACGUGACGUCACUGUUGACUGACGUGAUACAGAUUUCGAUGCAUGUUGGGAGUUAAUAAUAGCAGAACAGCUAUGGCAGCUACGGCAAGGUUCGGCGUGUCCCCAGGAGUGAGUCCUCCCUGCCGAGCAUGAUCUGGACUACUUAACACCGGCUGAGGAUACAAAAGAAGGGUGUUGUAUAACAUCCUGGUGCCUCUUUUGCAUGAAAUUUCAAUGAAGAAGGACAAGAAUCUUCGAAAAAGAAUGCAAGAUCACCAAAGUACAGUCUUUAAAGGUUCCAAAAGGUACCAUUUUUGGGUUCCCCACAGAACCUUUUAGAUAACUGUUCUUAAAAGAACAGUCAGAAAAUCACAUUUGAUGCCCCUGGACACUUCAUACGUGGUCAAUAUGAGCAAAAAGUCUGUCAGAUUCAUUGAAAAGAGCCAUCUCAAAUCAAUGAUUCUUUCAUGAAUAAGAAAUUUGCUGUUUAUCUCAUGAAUAUGCCAAGGACAGCUUGUGCAGAUGACAAGAUUUUCAGUAUAUAAUCAUUCAAAUGCUUGUUAUCUUCUGUCUCUAUUCAUUAUAAAUGCAUGCGAAGCACAUG